rnacentral:rRNA from 1 species
GUCGCAAGACCAAAGUGGGGGACCUUCGGGCCUCAUGCCAUCAGAUGUGCCCAGAUGGGAUUAGCUAGUAGGUGGGGUAACGGCUCACCUAGGCGACGAUCCCUAGCUGGUCUGAGAGGAUGACCAGCCACACUGGAACUGAGACACGGUCCAGACUCCUACGGGAGGCAGCAGUGGGGAAUAUUGCACAAUGGGCGCAAGCCUGAUGCAGCCAUGCCGCGUGUGUGAAGAAGGCCUUCGGGUUGUAAAGCACUUUCAGCGGGGAGGAAGGCGUUAAGGUUAAUAACCUUGGCGAUUGACGUUACCCGCAGAAGAAGCACCGGCUAACUCCGUGCCAGCAGCCGCGGUAAUACGGAGGGUGCAAGCGUUAAUCGGAAUUACUGGGCGUAAAGCGCACGCAGGCGGUCUGUCAAGUCGGAUGUGAAAUCCCCGGGCUCAACCUGGGAACUGCAUUCGAAACUGGCAGGCUAGAGUCUUGUAGAGGGGGGUAGAAUUCCAGGUGUAGCGGUGAAAUGCGUAGAGAUCUGGAGGAAUACCGGUGGCGAAGGCGGCCCCCUGGACAAAGACUGACGCUCAGGUGCGAAAGCGUGGGGAGCA